UAUUUAAGUAACGGGCAAAGUGAACUUUCUCCGCAGGACCUUGUACCUUACGGAGCUGUGGAGGACAAAAGAGAUCAGACCGAGCUAUAACCAGGACAUGAAGUGUUUGCUGGAUUAAGGGGAACAGUGGGCUGACUCACUGAGGGCUGAACAGGUUCUUGUGGGACGGUAACCUUUCACCAAUAGACACCAAUCAAUACUGGUGACCAUUGAGGUUCACACGCAACUUACUUACCUGGACCUUGUACCUUACGGAGCUGUGGAGGACAAAAGAGAUCAGACCGAGCUUUUACCAGGACAUGAAGUGUUUGCUGGAUUAAGGGGAACAGUGGGCUGACUCACUGAGGGCUGAACAGGUUCUUGUGGGACGGUAACCUUUCACCAAUAGACACCAAUCAAUACUUGUGACCAUUGAGGUUCACACGCAACUGACUUACCUGGACCUUGUACCUUACGGAGCUGUGGAGGACAAAAGAGAUCAGACCGAGCUAUAACCAGGACAUGAAGUGUUUGCUGGAUUAAGGGGAACAGUGGGCUGACUCACUGAGGGCUGAACAGGUUCUUGUGGGACGGUAACCUUUCACCAAUAGACACCAAUCAAUACUGGUGACCAUUGAGGUUCACACGCAACUUACUUACCUGGACCUUGUACCUUACGGAGCUGUGGAGGACAAAAGAGAUCAGACCGAGCUAUAACCAGGACAUGAAGUGUUUGCUGGAUUAAGGGGAACAGUGGGCUGACUCACUGAGGGCUGAACAGGUUCUUGUGGGACGGUAACCUUUCACCAAUAGACACCAAUCAAUACUGGUGACCAUUGAGGUUCACACGCAACUUACUUACCUGGACCUUGUACCUUACGGAGCUGUGGAGGACAAAAGAGAUCAGACCGAGCUAUAACCAGGACAUGAAGUGUUUGCUGGAUUAAGGGGAACAGUGGGCUGACUCACUGAGGGCUGAACAGGUUCUUGUGGGACGGUAACCUUUCACCAAUAGACACCAAUCAAUACUGGUGACCAUUGAGGUUCACACGCAACUUACUUACCUGGACCUUGUACCUUACGGAGCUGUGGAGGACAAAAGAGAUCAGACCGAGCUAUAACCAGGACAUGAAGUGUUUGCUGGAUUAAGGGGAACAGUGGGCUGACUCACUGAGGGCUGAACAGGUUCUUGUGGGACGGUAACCUUUCACCAAUAGACACCAAUCAAUACUGGUGACCAUUGAGGUUCACACGCAACUUACUUACCUGGACCUUGUACCUUACGGAGCUGUGGAGGACAAAAGAGAUCAGACCGAGCUAUAACCAGGACAUGAAGUGUUUGCUGGAUUAAGGGGAACAGUGGGCUGACUCACUGAGGGCUGAACAGGUUCUUGUGGGACGGUAACCUUUCACCAAUAGACACCAAUCAAUACUGGUGACCAUUGAGGUUCACACGCAACUUACUUACCUGGACCUUGUACCUUACGGAGCUGUGGAGGACAAAAGAGAUCAGACCGAGCUAUAACCAGGACAUGAAGUGUUUGCUGGAUUAAGGGGAACAGUGGGCUGACUCACUGAGGGCUGAACAGGUUCUUGUGGGACGGUAACCUUUCACCAAUAGACACCAAUCAAUACUGGUGACCAUUGAGGUUCACACGCAACUUACUUACCUGGACCUUGUACCUUACGGAGCUGUGGAGGACAAAAGAGAUCAGACCGAGCUAUAACCAGGACAUGAAGUGUUUGCUGGAUUAAGGGGAACAGUGGGCUGACUCACUGAGGGCUGAACAGGUUCUUGUGGGACGGUAACCUUUCACCAAUAGACACCAAUCAAUACUGGUGACCAUUGAGGUUCACACGCAACUUACUUACCUGGACCUUGUACCUUACGGAGCUGUGGAGGACAAAAGAGAUCAGACCGAGCUAUAACCAGGACAUGAAGUGUUUGCUGGAUUAAGGGGAACAGUGGGCUGACUCACUGAGGGCUGAACAGGUUCUUGUGGGACGGUAACCUUUCACCAAUAGACACCAAUCAAUACUGGUGACCAUUGAGGUUCACACGCAACUUACUUACCUGGACCUUGUACCUUACGGAGCUGUGGAGGACAAAAGAGAUCAGACCGAGCUAUAACCAGGACAUGAAGUGUUUGCUGGAUUAAGGGGAACAGUGGGCUGACUCACUGAGGGCUGAACAGGUUCUUGUGGGACGGUAACCUUUCACCAAUAGACACCAAUCAAUACUGGUGACCAUUGAGGUUCACACGCAACUUACUUACCUGGACCUUGUACCUUACGGAGCUGUGGAGGACAAAAGAGAUCAGACCGAGCUAUAACCAGGACAUGAAGUGUUUGCUGGAUUAAGGGGAACAGUGGGCUGACUCACUGAGGGCUGAACAGGUUCUUGUGGGACGGUAACCUUUCACCAAUAGACACCAAUCAAUACUGGUGACCAUUGAGGUUCACACGCAACUUACUUACCUGGACCUUGUACCUUACGGAGCUGUGGAGGACAAAAGAGAUCAGACCGAGCUAUAACCAGGACAUGAAGUGUUUGCUGGAUUAAGGGGAACAGUGGGCUGACUCACUGAGGGCUGAACAGGUUCUUGUGGGACGGUAACCUUUCACCAAUAGACACCAA